UACGUAGGGUGCGAGCGUUGUCCGGAAUUAUUGGGCGUAAAGAGCUUGUAGGCGGUCUGUCGCGUCUGCUGUGAAAAUCCGGGGCUCAACCCCGGACUUGCAGUGGGUACGGGCAGACUAGAGUGUGGUAGGGGAGACUGGAAUUCCUGGUGUAGCGGUGAAAUGCGCAGAUAUCAGGAGGAACACCGAUGGCGAAGGCAGGUCUCUGGGCCACUACUGACGCUGAGUGAGCGAAAGCCAGGGGAGCAAACGGG
rnacentral:rRNA from 1 species